CUCAUGAAAUGGAGAGGGGUAUGUAAGAGCAGCCAUGGCUUCCUGUGCUGCUAGGACACUUUCCUCACUUAGAGGAUGAGCUUUCCAGCUAGUUAGCUUUCCGGUGUAUUCUUUUUCACAACCAAGUUAACCUGGAGCAGAGACAGCCCUGGGCCUUUUGUGGCUGCUCCUCCAGAAGGUCGCCUGUCCACAGACUACUCCCUGGCCCUGAGAAGCAGUGAUUCAGGAGAAGAUCAACAACAGGAGACAGAGGGACCCCUCUAGAGGCAGGAGGAAAGAUAAAUGGCCACAGGCUGCUGUCAUCUAGGCCAGGGUUCUGGCAGCAAUGAAAACACGUCUGCAGGAGGAGAAAGAAGUGCUUUUGAAUCCAUCUUACUCAUCGUCUGUCUCUUGUCUCUUCAAAGUGAAUGCAGUUGGAAGGAAAGGGACAGGGCCAGGGCAGAAGUCACAAUGGCUGCUUGGACCGUGGAAGCCUGAAGCCUGGUCCCUAAAGUGAAUAUGGUCUUGGCAACAUCAGAACUGCCAAGAGCCAAGGUUUCCUUAUUGGCUAAAUUAAAUCACAAUCCUCCCCUGGCUAACCUAGAACUCUGGGAAUCAAAUAUACCAAUAAAAUGUCUGUAAAAGCACUGUUUGAAUUUGCAUUUGCACCACUACUCUUAGCAGAGGAAGCGGCAGCCUGAGGCUGGUGUGAGCACUGGGCUGGGAGUCAGCGGUUCUAAGCGUGAGCCCCAGCUCUGCAACCUACCAGCCUAUUUGGGACUCUCCAUUUCUCAUCUGAAAAUGCGUAGGCCGGAAAUAGCUGCUGCCCUGCCUGCUGUCAUCAUCUCAGUCACUGAACAAGUGUAUGGGGAUCAUCAGUCUGUAUCAGGUACCCUUGUAGACAUGGGACUGGCAUUGUGUGUUCAGACACGGGCCCUGACUGCACGUCUCACAUCCCAGUGGUGAGGAGACAGACAGCAAACAGGUAGGUAAUUAAAUAAAUACGAUCAUUUAAUCUUCUUUAUGUGUGUGGUGAUGCUGGCAUAAACAGACAUACUGCUCUGCCAGUCCUAUAAAAGUCUAGCACACACAAUUAUAUUCUGUACAUAAUAAGUGAUAAUGAUAAUAAAAGGUUUACUGAUUUACAUAUUUACUAUACUAUACUUGUUAUGGUUGUAGAGUGUGGGCUCCUUCUACUUAUAAAAAUAAGUUAACUGUAAAAUGGUCUCAGGCAUGUCCUUCAGGAGGAAUUCCAGAAGAAGGCAUCGCUAUCACAGGAGAUGACAGCUCCAUGUUAUUGCCCCUGAAGACCUUCCAGUGGGACAGGAUGUGGAGGUGUAAGACAGUGAUAGUGACAGUCCUGACCCUCUGCAGGCCUUGGCUAAUGUGUGUGUCUGUGUCUUAGAUUUUUUUUUUCCGGAGACAGAGUCUUGCUCUGUCGCCCAGGCUGGAGUGCAAUGGUACGAUCUUGGCUCACUGCAACCUCCGCCUCCUGGGUUCAAGAAAUUCUCCUGCCUCAGCCUCCUGAGUAGCUGGAAUUACAGGUGCCUGCCACCACACCCAGCUAAUUUUUGUAUUUUUAGUGGGCGAGGUUUCACCAUGUUGGCCAGACUAGUCUCAAACUCCUGGCCUCAAGUGAUCUGCCCUCCUUGGCCUCCCAAAGUGCUGGGGUUACAGCAUGAGCCACUGUGCCCAGCCUGUGUCUUAGUUUUCAACUGCAAAGUUUAAAAUGUUAAAAAAAGAAUUUGAAAACAGAAAAAAUCUUACAGAAUAAGGAUACAAAGAGAAAAUAUUUUUUACAGCUGGACAAUGUGUUUGUAUUCUAAGCUGAGUCAUUACAAAAGAGUCAAAAAGUUAAAAGCAUAGAAAUUUAUAAAGUAAAAAGUUACAGGAAGCUUAUUUUCUUUCUGAAGUUCAGUCUGGGUGCACAGUAGGCUCCACCAUCUGGCCUGGGUGCGCAGUGGGCUCCGCCAUCCGGCCUGGGUGCACAGUGGGUUCUGCCAUCCGGCCUCGGUGCGCAGUGGGCUGUGCCAUCCAGGUGUGUGUAAGUGUGCUCUGUGGUGUUCACACAAUGGCAAAAUCACCUAAUGACACAUUUCUCAUAACAGAGCCCUGUUGUUAAGGGAUGCGUGGCUAUAAGAAUGUCGCGUUCAGGGAGAAAUUGGGGCUGAGGACACAGAUGUGGCAGGAAUUGUGAAUUUGGUCGUUAAAGUUGUGGCACCUAAGGGACACACCCAGAUAGCAGGAGCGAGGAAAAGUCAAGAUCCAGCUCUAGACGAGCCCACAGGAAGAGGACUGGCUGAGAAGGGAGAGCUGACACAAGACAAGGAGAGGGAGGGAGGUGGCGCAGGUGAAAGGAGCCGGGGUGGAGUGAUGCAUGGUACCCCCUGCUGUUAGGGUGCAAUGAAAUACAAAAUAUAAUCCUUUCAAUAAGUUUUAAAGCACUGUUUAACUGUUAGUCACAGUGGGCCCCUGGGUGUGGGCGGAGGGAACAGCUGACCACAGCAAUGACGAAGAGAUGACAAGAAGCUACCUGGGCCACUGGUUCCUUGGCUCCCUGGUCCUGGAGGAGGCUGGGCUAGACUUGGGAGGAGGGGAGGAGGUGUCUCCUGCAGCCACCAGGACCAUGGCCGCCCUCCCUCACUUGCCGUGGGCCUCCCUCCCUCUGCUCUUCCCUCGCUCGCCACCUGGGGGUACUGGGUCACUUACUUCCACACUCAUUCUUCAAUGUCCACGAGCAAACCUGGAAAUGAGGGUGGCUAUACUCAGGACAGGAUCAGGGUCCAUGAUGUUGGGUGUUUACAGCGCCUCCCAAAAACGUCGUGAUACAGGACCAGGAACCUCCAGCGAGGGCCCUUCCCAGUCACACGGCAGCAGUGCAUGUGCACGUGGGGCCCAGGAUGCUUCAGAUCUGAAGGAACAC
rnacentral:lncRNA from 10 species